rnacentral:rRNA from 1 species
UACAGAGGGGGCAAGCGUUAUUCGGAAUUAUUGGGCGUAAAGGGCGCGUAGGCGGCUUGGCAAGUGGAUGGUGAAAUCCCUCGGCUCAACCGAGGAACUGCCGUCCAAACUGCUUGGCUUGAGACCGGGAGAGGUGAGUGGAAUUCCCAGUGUAGCGGUGAAAUGCGUAGAUAUUGGGAGGAACACCAGUGGCGAAGGCGGCUCACUGGACCGGUACUGACGCUGAGGCGCGAAAGCGUGGGGAGCAAACGGG